rnacentral:sRNA from 1 species
GCUGCAUUCACACUCUUCAUUCUGAUGGGCCAAAGGAGGCACUUGAAGGGGGUGAUGUCUAGAAAACCGAUGCUAACUAGCUGCAUCGACACUCCGCAUUUUGAUGGCCAAAUAAGGAGCCACAUGAAGGAAGUGAUAUUUAUGACUACCCCUUUUUAGCGUAAUCCACUUGAUCUUUGACUAUCAAAUGCAUCCACAGUAUCUUUGACUGUCAAAUGCAUCCAUCAAUUAACUAGUAUUUUUAAAUCGCAAAAUACUUGUAAUACUGCAGUAUUUGCUGUCCUAACUCCAACAAAUAGAGACAAGUUCCUUGUGCAAACGAGAAGACAAUAAAUAUAUCUUUCUAUUCAAAAGAAAAUGUAAUUGCUCCUAAAUGUCUGCUGUGAACUGUCACCAUGGCUGCU